AGAAUGUAACACUGCUCCAAAGUCUUGGCAUGCCAGUGUUGCCUUUGUGUAUUUGAAGUAUUUCCACUGGUCUUCGGAGUCCUGUCAUCCACCAAUGUGGAAUCCACAACUCAGAGCUGUGACUAUCCUUUGGAAGGAACAGACAUGACAACCAUCGUCUUAACUGCACUGUGUCAGAGGAACCAUGAGUUUGGCAGCAAUCCAUACCCAGUGCAUGGAGGACCUUCAGAUGAAUUUUUUCUGCUACAGUUUAACUUGCCACGUUUAAUUUGCAAGUAUCAAGCAAUGUAGGUGGAGACCUGAGAUGACCCAGUGUGACUGCUUCCUUCCAUACUAGAACUGCUAUGCUGCUAUGCUGCUAAGGCUGGUGCCCAUGCUGAGGUGUAACAAGAACAAAUCCGUGGAGGUCCACCCAAUCUGUAUUCUGCCUAGUGUCCUUUGACCUACAUGGAGAUGCACAAUAUGAUGUGAAGAAAAUGCAUUCAGUCCACCAGUAGCAUAUUCCAGCAGCCAGAUCUUGCCUGCUACAGCACAUCCAUCUCUCACAGUUCAGGCAGGAAGGGCCACCCACUGCCUCAACUAACACCACUUUUUCAGAGGGCUUAUCUCAAUUUGGUAGCUGGUAUCAACUCUAUCAGAUACACAGCAAUUAACAGGUUCCGAAGGCCAAGAUCUGAGUUGCCUACUUAAUUCAAAGACU
rnacentral:lncRNA from 1 species